UAGAGUUCGAUCCAUGGCUCAGGAUCAACGCUGGCGGCGUGCUUAACACAUGCAAGUCGAACGAUGAAGACCGUGCUUGCACGGUUGGAUUAGUGGCGAACGGGUGAGUAUCACGUGAGUAACCUUCCCUUAACUCUGGGAUAAGCCCGGGAAACUGGGUCUAAUACCGGAUACGACCAGUCCUCGCAUGGGGUGCUGGUGGAAAGAUUUAUCGGUUUUGGAUGGACUCGCGGCCUAUCAGCUUGUUGGUGAGGUAAUGGCUCACCAAGGCGAUGACGGGUAGCCGGCCUGAGAGGGUGACCGGCCACACUGGGACUGAGACACGGCCCAGACUCCUACGGGAGGCAGCAGUGGGGAAUAUUGCACAAUGGGCGAAAGCCUGAUGCAGCGACGCCGCGUGCGGGAUGACGGCCUUCGGGUUGUAAACCGCUUUCAGCAGGGAAGAAGCGAAAGUGACGGUACCUGCAGAAG
rnacentral:rRNA from 1 species